rnacentral:snoRNA from 9 species
UGCUGUGAUGAUGAGAUAAAAAUAAUCUCGUUAAUCUGAUACCUAUCAUUAUGAGGACAAAUCCUCUUUCCAUUCUUUAGUUUUCUGAGC